rnacentral:lncRNA from 1 species
AAGGAUCAAGUAGCAAAGAAAACUUAUUUGACUAUGUUUAUUUGCUUGAGGACAAGCAAAAAGGUAGGUGUGGGGGUAUUUGAUAGAGCAUAUUUUAGUCCAUUUUAUCAUUAUGUUCUUGAUGUUUAUUUACAUCUUUUCUACUUAAUUUUGUGGUUUUAAUUAUGUUUUGCAGAUAUUAGGUGUAAAGAGACAAUCUGGAGAAAAUGCUCUUAAAACUGC